CCUGCCCCUAGAGGCUUUGCAGGUGUGGCUGCUGCGUCACAUGUACAUCAGUAGGUGGCUGAGAGGAGAGAGGCUAUGUCUACACUUAGUCUUCUGAUCUAUGAACAGCUGAAGGAUUAGUAGCCUAACACU